rnacentral:rRNA from 1 species
UGGGGAAUAUUGGACAAUGGGGGCAACCCUGAUCCAGCAAUGCCGCGUGUGUGAAGAAGGCCUUCGGGUUGUAAAGCACUUUAGGUAGGGAAGAAGAAUUGAAGUUUAAGAGAUGUCAAUUUUGACGGUACCUGCAGAAUAAGCACCGGCUAACUCUGUGCCAGCAGCCGCGGUAAUACAGAGGGUGCGAGCGUUAAUCGGAAUUACUGGGCGUAAAGGGCGCGUAGGCUGUUAUAUAAGUGAGAUGUGAAACCCCUGGGCUUAACCUAGGACCUGCAUUUUAGACUGUAUGACUUGAGUGCUGUAGAGGGUAGUGGAAUUUCCGGUGUAGCGGUGAAAUGCGUAGAUAUCGGAAGGAACACCAGUGGCGAAGGCGGCUACCUGGACAGACACUGACGCUGAGGCGCGAGAGCGUGGGUAGCAAACAGG